rnacentral:rRNA from 1 species
AGUGAACGCUGGCGGCAGGCCUAACACAUGCAAGUCGAGCGGAUGAAGGGAGCUUGCUCCUGGAUUCAGCGGCGGACGGGUGAGUAAUGCCUAGGAAUCUGCCUGGUAGUGGGGGAUAACGUCCGGAAACGGGCGCUAAUACCGCAUACGUCCUGAGGGAGAAAGUGGGGGAUCUUCGGACCUCACGCUCUCAGAUGAGCCUAGGUCGGAUUAGCUAGUUGGUGGGGUAAAGGCCUACCAAGGCGACGAUCCGUAACUGGUCUGAGAGGAUGAUCAGUCACACUGGAACUGAGACACGGUCCAGACUCCUACGGGAGGCAGCAGUGGGGAAUAUUGGACAAUGGGCGAAAGCCUGAUCCAGCCAUGCCGCGUGUGUGAAGAAGGUCUUCGGAUUGUAAAGCACUUUAAGUUGGGAGGAAGGGCAGUAAGUUAAUACCUUGCUGUUUUGACGUUACCAAAAGAAUAAGCACCGGCUAACUUCGUG